CCUACGGGUGGCAGCAGUGGGGAAUAUUGCACAAUGGGGGAAACCCUGAUGCAGCAACGCCGCGUGAGUGAAGAAGUAUUUCGGUAUGUAAAGCUCUAUCAGCAGGGAAGAAGAUGACGGUACCUGACCAAGAAGCCCCGGCUCACUCCGUGCCAGCUGCCGCGGUAAUACGUAGGGGGCAAGCGUUAUCCGGAUUUACUGGGUGUAAAGGGAGCGCAGACGGCAGUGCAGGUCAGGAGUGAAAGCUCGGGGCCCAACCACAGAACUGCUCUUGAAACUGUGCGGCUAGAGUACUGGAGGGGCAGGCGGAAGUACUAGUGUAGCGGUGAAAUGCGUAGAUAUUAGGAGGAACACCAGUGGCGAAGGCGGCCUGCUGGACAGUAACUGACGUUGAGGCUCGAAAGCGUGGGGAGCAAACAGGAUUAGAUACCCCUGUAGUC
rnacentral:rRNA from 1 species